AACGAACGCUGGCGGCAGGCCUAACACAUGCAAGUCGAGCGAAGCCUUCGGGCUUAGCGGCGGACGGGUGAGUAACGCGUGGGAACGUGCCCCUUGCUACGGAAUAGCCCCGGGAAACUGGGAGUAAUACCGUAUGUGCCCUUCGGGGGAAAGAUUUAUCGGCAAAGGAUCGGCCCGCGUUGGAUUAGGUAGUUGGUGGGGUAAUGGCCUACCAAGCCGACGAUCCAUAGCUGGUUUGAGAGGAUGAUCAGCCACACUGGGACUGAGACACGGCCCAGACUCCUACGGGAGGCAGCAGUGGGAAAUCUUAGACAAUGGGGGAAACCCUGAUCUAGCCAUGCCGCGUGAUCGAUGAAGGCCUUAGGGUUGUAAAGAUCUUUCAGUGGGGAAGAUAAUGACUGUACCCACAGAAGAAGCCCCGGCUAACUCCGUGCCAGCCGCCGCGGUAAUAC
rnacentral:rRNA from 1 species